CGAACGGGUGAGUAACACAUCGGAACGUGUCCAGUAGCGGGGGGAUAACCUCUCGAAAGAGAGGCUAAUACCGCAUACGACCUACGGGUGAAAGAGGGGGAUCGCAAGACCUCUCACUAUUGGAGCGGCCGAUGUCGGAUUAGCUAGUUGGCGGGGUAACGGCCCACCAAGGCUACGAUCCGUAGCUGGUCUGAGAGGACGACCAGCCACACUGGAACUGAGACACGGUCCAG
rnacentral:rRNA from 1 species